UCCACAAGGACGGAUUUUUAGAGUAGAUAAAGGGAAGUUCAUGACCACAUCUUGGUCUCCUGAUGGCGGGGUUACAUGGUUUACCUAUCAGUGCGCAUACAACACAAGUCCUUCAAUCACAUAUAAGAACUUUUUCAAACCACCUGGUAACUGGUAAAUGUGUCAGCUUGAAAAAUAAAUGUAAAAGUUAUA